CAUGUGCACGAGUCAUUGAGUCUACUAAACUCAAAGGCGAAGUGAAAGCAAAAUGUUCGUUCCUUCACUCGCAAGAGUGUUGGUCGUUCAAGGGCUGAUCCCGUACGAAAUAGAGCGGGCGCAAGCUCGGGACUUGCAUUUCCUUUUAUGGAAGGUGAGUACCAAUAGUGUACCUGGUAGUACCCGAAAGAUGGUGAACUAUGCCUGGCCAGGACGAAGCCAGAGGAAACUCUGGUGGAGGUCCGAAACGAUUCUGACGUGCAAAUCGAUCGUCGGAGCUGGGUAUAGGGGCGAAAGACUAAUCGAACUAUCUAGUAGCUGGUUCCCUCCGAAGUUUCCCUUAGGAUAGCUGGUGCUCUUGAAAGAGUUUCAUCCGGUAAAGCGAAUGAUUAGAGGUCUUGGGGACGAAACGUCCUCAACCUAUUCUCAAACUUUAAAUGGGUGAGAAGUCGGGCUUGCUUGAAUAGUGAAGCUCCGACAGUAAAUCUGAGUGCCUAGUGGGCCAUUUUUGGUAAGCAGAACUGGCGCUGUGGGAUGAACCAAACGUUGAGUUAAGGGGCCUAAAUGAAUGCUCAUCAGAACCCAGAAAAGGUGUUGGUUGCUAUAGACAG
rnacentral:rRNA from 1 species